GCCCAAUUUCCCUUAUGAACAUAACUAUAAAGAUACUUAAUCAAAUAUUAGCAAAUUGAUCCAAAAGCAUAUCAAAAAGAUAGUAUACCAUGAUUAAGUAUGUUUCAUCCCAGAGAUGCAAGUGUGGUUCAACAUAUGCAAAUCAAUAAAUGUCAUUCACAGUAUAAAUAGAAUUAAGAACAAUAAUCAUCCUAUUAUCUCAAUAGAUACUGAAAAGAUCUUUGAUAAAAUUUAGUACCCAUUUAUGUUAAAAUGUUAGAAUGUCUAGCAUAGAAGGAGCUUACCUCAACAUAAAGGCUAUAUAUGAUAAACCUAAAGCCAGGAUCAUACUGAAGGCAUUCUAAAAUUAAGAACAGCACAACUGUGUCCAUUAUCACCAGUCCUAUCCAACAUAACCCUUGAAAUGCUAUCCAGAGUUAUUGGUCAAGAGAAGGAAAUUAAAAGGAUACAAAUAGGAAAAGAAAUGAAAUUAUCUCUGUUUGCUGGUGACAUAAUCCCAUAACUAGAAGACCCAAAAAACUCCACCAGAAGAUCUCUAGGGCUGAUAAAUGAAUUCAGAAAAUUAGGAGGAUGCAAGAUCAAUAUUCACAAAUAAGUAAAUUUCCUAUACUCUAAUAGUGAUCUGCUGAGAAAGAAAUCAGGAAAACUCUCCCAUUCAUGAUAAACUAAAAAACAAACAAACAAAUAAAUAAAAUGCAUGGGAAUUAAUCUAACCAAGGAGGUGAAAGACCUCUACAAUGAAAAAUAUAGAACACUGAAGAAAGAAAUUGAAGACCUCAGAAGAUAGAAAGAUGUCCAAUCUUCUGGGAUAAGCAGAGUUGACAUUGUCAAACUGGCCAUAUUACCAAAAACAAUAUACAGUUUCAAUGCAAAGCCCAUCAAAAUACUGAGGACAUUCUUCACAGAACUGGGAAAAAAACAGUACUAAAAUUCAUUUAGAAGAAUAAAGACUCAGAAUUGUUAAUGCAAUUGUUAUGGUUUAGAUGUGAAGUGUCCCCUAAAAGUUCAUGUGUGAGACAGCUCAAGGUUUAGAGCCUUAACACAAUCUGUGAAUUAAACCCCUGAUGGGAUUAACUGAGUGGUGACUGUAGGCAGGUAGAGUGUGAAUGACGGAAGUGGGUUAUUCAGGUGUGCCUUUCAGUUUAUUUUAUUAAUGGAAAGGACAGUCCUUUCUGUCUCCUCUGAGGGUGCCAUAUUCCAACUGCUUUCAUCCACCACAUCUUGCAACCAUGGUGUUCUGCCUCUCCUUUAGCCCAGAGCAAUGAAGUUGGUAAUCUCUGAACUGACACCUCUGAAACUGUGACACCCCAAAUAAACAUUUACUCCUCUAAAAUUGUUCUUGUUGGGAAUUUUGGUCAAAGUGUAAAAAAAAAAAGUUGACUAGAACAAAAAUCUUGAGCAAGAGGAGUGGUACUGGAAGCAUCACAGUAUUUGAUCUCAAAUUAUACUUCAGAGUUAUAGUAACAAAAACAGCAUGACAUUAACAUAAGAAUCAGAUAUGAAGACUAGUGGAAUAGAAUAAAA
rnacentral:lncRNA from 1 species